UGGCGGACGGGUGAGUAAUGUCUGGGAAACUGCCUGAUGGAGGGGGAUAACUACUGGAAACGGUAGCUAAUACCGCAUAACGUCGCAAGACCAAAGAGGGGGACCUUCGGGCCUCUUGCCAUCAGAUGUGCCCAGAUGGGAUUAGCUAGUAGGUGGGGUAACGGCUCACCUAGGCACGAUCCCUAGCUGGUCUGAGAGGAUGACCAGCCACACUGGAACUGAGACACGGUCCAG
rnacentral:rRNA from 1 species